rnacentral:lncRNA from 1 species
GGACUUCAAAAUUUAAAAUACAAAAAUCUUUCUUAAUACUUCCCACUAAACGCUUUUCCUUUGCUCUAAAAAAAUUCACCCCAUACUUGAUGUUGAAGCGGUUGUGCCUCAGGGGUUUGAAUUCAUUUUAGAGUUACAACUCUCCACAUCCAGGGUGCAUGAGUCAGCCCAGGCUAGGAGACAAUGCCAAAGACAAAGAAGAAGAUUACGCCAGCCUCCUGAUAGGCCAUAAGAGGCCAUCAGCACAUCUUUUUCAGUUUUACCUGUGAAGGUCAAGAAGAAGUUGAAUAUUAUAGUGAAAGUACAUGUAGCUGUGUGUCUUCAUCACCAUUUCUUUGAAUUAAUUUAUUUAUGUGACAAGUUUUUUUGUAUAGUGCUAGCUUCUGGAGUGCUUAAAUUAUUUGUGUAUAACAAUUAAACAGACAUGCAGGUGUCAUAAAGGCAAUAAAUUUAAAGGCGUUACAUACAUUUUUAUUAACCAGUACAUGUGAAAGAGAAGUGAGGUGUUUGAAAAACUAUGCUACUUUGCAUGAAAAACUCACAGAACAUGUCUAUUUCUGUGAUUCAUCACCAUUUAUUUAUAUGGCAGGUAUAUUUUUGGAUUUAAAAGGGGUAGCUUCUUGAGUGCUUUAGUUUUGUAUUACAUUUACACAUGCAGGUAUCACAUGUCAAUAUAUUGAAAGGGUUAUCGGGAUAUACGUGAUGAAUGUGUUGACAUUUUCUUUUAAGAGCAUCA